rnacentral:rRNA from 1 species
AUUGAACGCUGGCGGCAUGCCUUACACAUGCAAGUCGAACGGUAACAGGUCUUCGGAUGCUGACGAGUGGCGAACGGGUGAGUAAUACAUCGGAACGUGCCUAGUAGUGGGGGAUAACUACUCGAAAGAGUGGCUAAUACCGCAUGAGAUCUACGGAUGAAAGCAGGGGAUCGUAAGACCUUGUGCUACUAGAGCGGCCGAUGGCAGAUUAGGUAGUUGGUGGGAUAAAAGCUUACCAAGCCGACGAUCUGUAGCUGGUCUGGGAGGACGAUCAGCCACACUGGGACUGAGACACGGCCCAGACUCCUACGGGAGGCAGCAGUGGGGAAUUUUGGACAAUGGGCGCAAGCCUGAUCCAGCAAUGCCGCGUGCAGGAUGAAGGCCUUCGGGUUGUAAACUGCUUUUGUACGGAACGAAAAGCCCUGGGUUAAUACCCUGGGGUCAUGACGGUACCGUAAGAAUAAGCACCGGCUAACUACGUGCCAGCCGCCGCCGUAAUAC